GGGGCGCGCCCGCCUGGACCGCCUCGGGCACCCAAGUCCUCAGCCCCACCGUCGCGGGACCGUCCGGCAGGGCCGUCUGCGCUGCGUGGAGCCCGAGGGUGGGGCCCCGGCCGCCUCUGUGAGGGAGGCCGCCUCUGGUAUGUCCUCUGGGUUCCAGCUGUCGACAAGGAGGGUGGUGGAGAAAUGGUGCCCAUCCAGCAGGAAUACAUAUUUUCACCGUGUUUUCUGGUUCUUGUGACCGAAAGAGCACUGGCACAAACUAAAGAAGAGGAUCUGUGUGGGCUCACAGUGUGAGGCUAUAGACUGUCCCACCGGUGAAGAAGGUGCGGCAAGAGCGUGAAGCAGCUGGUCACAGCCAAUCCAUAGUCAAAAGCAGCUCACUUCGCCCCAUUCAGGCAGUCCUGCAAGCCCUACCCAUUUAUAAUGCUCCUUUUCUCACCUGAACCCAGUCUGGAGACUCCCUCACAGACCUAUCGUGAGGUUUGUUGCCUGGAUGACUCCAGAUCCAAUAGAGUUGACAACAUCCCACUCAGCAGAUUACAGCCCUGAAAAGAUCAAAAUUAGUUAACGAAA